rnacentral:piRNA from 1 species
UGAGGAAGAACAGUGUGCCUGCCCU